GGUUAAGCGACUAAGCGUACACGGUGGAUGCCCUGGCAGUCAGAGGCGAUGAAGGACGUGCUAAUCUGCGAUAAGCGUCGGUAAGGUGAUAUGAACCGUUAUAACCGGCGAUUUCCGAAUGGGGGAAACCCAGUGUGUUUCGACACACUAUCAUUAACUGAAUCCAUAGGUUAAUGAGGCGAACCGGGGAACUGAAACAUCUAAGUACCCCGAGGAAAAGAAAUCAACCGAGAUUCCCCCAGUAGCGGCGAGCGAACGGGGAGCAGCCCAGAGCCUGAAUCAGUGUGUGUGUUAGUGGAAGCGUCUGGAAAGGCGCGCGAUACAGGGUGACAGCCCCGUACACAAAAAUGCACAUGCUGUGAGCUCGAUGAGUAGGGCGGGACACGUGGUAUCCUGUCUGAAUAUGGGGGGACCAUCCUCCAAGGCUAAAUACUCCUGACUGACCGAUAGUGAACCAGUACCGUGAGGGAAAGGCGAAAAGAACCCCGGCGAGGGGAGUGAAAAAGAACCUGAAACCGUGUACGUACAAGCAGUGGGAGCACGCUUAGGCGUGUGACUGCGUACCUUUUGUAUAAUGGGUCAGCGACUUAUAUUCUGUAGCAAGGUUAACCGAAUAGGGGAGCCGAAGGGAAACCGAGUCUUAACUGGGCGUUAAGUUGCAGGGUAUAGACCCGAAACCCGGUGAUCUAGCCAUGGGCAGGUUGAAGGUUGGGUAACACUAACUGGAGGACCGAACCGACUAAUGUUGAAAAAUUAGCGGAUGACUUGUGGCUGGGGGUGAAAGGCCAAUCAAACCGGGAGAUAGCUGGUUCUCCCCGAAAGCUAUUUAGGUAGCGCCUCGUGAAUUCAUCUCCGGGGGUAGAGCACUGUUUCGGCAAGGGGGUCAUCCCGACUUACCAACCCGAUGCAAACUGCGAAUACCGGAGAAUGUUAUCACGGGAGACACACGGCGGGUGCUAACGUCCGUCGUGAAGAGGGAAACAACCCAGACCGCCAGCUAAGGUCCCAAAGUCAUGGUUAAGUGGGAAACGAUGUGGGAAGGCCCAGACAGCCAGGAUGUUGGCUUAGAAGCAGCCAUCAUUUAAAGAAAGCGUAAUAGCUCACUGGUCGAGUCGGCCUGCGCGGAAGAUGUAACGGGGCUAAACCAUGCACCGAAGCUGCGGCAGCGACGCUGAUGCGUUGUUGGGUAGGGGAGCGUUCUGUAAGCCUGUGAAGGUGUGCUGUGAGGCAUGCUGGAGGUAUCAGAAGUGCGAAUGCUGACAUAAGUAACGAUAAAGCGGGUGAAAAGCCCGCUCGCCGGAAGACCAAGGGUUCCUGUCCAACGUUAAUCGGGGCAGGGUGAGUCGACCCCUAAGGCGAGGCCGAAAGGCGUAGUCGAUGGGAAACAGGUUAAUAUUCCUGUACUUGGUGUUACUGCGAAGGGGGGACGGAGAAGGCUAUGUUGGCCGGGCGACGGUUGUCCCGGUUUAAGCGUGUAGGCUGGUUUUCCAGGCAAAUCCGGAAAAUCAAGGCUGAGGCGUGAUGACGAGGCACUACGGUGCUGAAGCAACAAAUGCCCUGCUUCCAGGAAAAGCCUCUAAGCAUCAGGUAACAUCAAAUCGUACCCCAAACCGACACAGGUGGUCAGGUAGAGAAUACCAAGGCGCUUGAGAGAACUCGGGUGAAGGAACUAGGCAAAAUGGUGCCGUAACUUCGGGAGAAGGCACGCUGAUAUGUAGGUGAAGUCCCUUGCGGAUGGAGCUGAAAUCAGUCGAAGAUACCAGCUGGCUGCAACUGUUUAUUAAAAACACAGCACUGUGCAAACACGAAAGUGGACGUAUACGGUGUGACGCCUGCCCGGUGCCGGAAGGUUAAUUGAUGGGGUCAGCGCAAGCGAAGCUCUUGAUCGAAGCCCCGGUAAACGGCGGCCGUAACUAUAACGGUCCUAAGGUAGCGAAAUUCCUUGUCGGGUAAGUUCCGACCUGCACGAAUGGCGUAAUGAUGGCCAGGCUGUCUCCACCCGAGACUCAGUGAAAUUGAACUCGCUGUGAAGAUGCAGUGUACCCGCGGCAAGACGGAAAGACCCCGUGAACCUUUACUAUAGCUUGACACUGAACAUUGAGCCUUGAUGUGUAGGAUAGGUGGGAGGCUUUGAAGUGUGGACGCCAGUCUGCAUGGAGCCGACCUUGAAAUACCACCCUUUAAUGUUUGAUGUUCUAACGUUGACCCGUAAUCCGGGUUGCGGACAGUGUCUGGUGGGUAGUUUGACUGGGGCGGUCUCCUCCUAAAGAGUAACGGAGGAGCACGAAGGUUGGCUAAUCCUGGUCGGACAUCAGGAGGUUAGUGCAAUGGCAUAAGCCAGCUUGACUGCGAGCGUGACGGCGCGAGCAGGUGCGAAAGCAGGUCAUAGUGAUCCGGUGGUUCUGAAUGGAAGGGCCAUCGCUCAACGGAUAAAAGGUACUCCGGGGAUAACAGGCUGAUACCGCCCAAGAGUUCAUAUCGACGGCGGUGUUUGGCACCUCGAUGUCGGCUCAUCACAUCCUGGGGCUGAAGUAGGUCCCAAGGGUAUGGCUGUUCGCCAUUUAAAGUGGUACGCGAGCUGGGUUUAGAACGUCGUGAGACAGUUCGGUCCCUAUCUGCCGUGGGCGCUGGAGAACUGAGGGGGCUGCUCCUAGUACGAGAGGACCGGAGUGGACGCAUCACUGGUGUUCGGGUUGUCAUGCCAAUGGCACUGCCCGGUAGCUAAAUGCGGAAGAGAUAAGUGCUGAAAGCAUCUAAGCACGAAACUUGCCCCGAGAUGAGUUCUCCCUGACUCCUUGAGAGUCCUGAAGGAACGUUGAAGACGACGACGUUGAUAGGCCGGGUGUGUAAGCGCAGCGAUGCGUUGAGCUAACCGGUACUAAUGAACCGUGAGGCUUAACCUU
rnacentral:rRNA from 1 species